UACGUAGGUUGCGAGCGUUAUUCGGAUUUACUGGGCGUAAAGAGCACCGAGGUGGCUUCUUAAGUUGGAUGUAAAAUCUCCUGCUUAACUGGGAGGCGCCAUUCAAAACUGAGGAGCUUGAGGUCAGCAGGGGAAGGUGGAAUUCCCGGUGUAGUGGUGGAAUGCGUAGAGAUCGGGAGGAACACCAGUGGCGAAAGCGACCUUCUGGGCUGCACCUGACACUCUAGUGCGAAAGCGUGGGGAGCAAACAGGA
rnacentral:rRNA from 1 species